GGGCAUAGCGUAGUCGACGUGGCAAGUCGUCUGGCAACAGCUCGUGCCGUACGUGCAUUCGGUAAGGAUGCCAUCGUAAAUCUAAUCUUGUAAUCACCUGUUGAAACUUGAUUUUGAAACUUCUACAGAUUACGACCAGCGCUAACACGUCGUGGGGUUUCCUGUAGCAGAUCUCUCACAGCAGCAACAUUUUCUUCACUUCGAGCACUUCUUCGCCUGUCCGAAUUGCCCUUGUUGCGGUUUAAGCUUGUUCCUGGGUUUUGGUAUUUACGAACGUCUUU